rnacentral:rRNA from 1 species
GGAUUGCCYUAGUAACGGCGAGUGAAGCGGCAACAGCUCAAAUUUGAAAUCUGGCCUUCGGGUCCGAGUUGUAAUUUGCAGAGGAUGCUUUUGGCGCGGUGCCUUCCGAGUUCCCUGGAACGGGACGCCUUAGAGGGUGAGAGCCCCGUACGGUUGGACACCAAGCCUCUGUAAAGCUCCUUCGACGAGUCGAGUAGUUUGGGAAUGCUGCUCUAAAUGGGAGGUAAAUUUCUUCUAAAGCUAAAUACCGGCCAGAGACCGAUAGCGCACAAGUAGAGUGAUCGAAAGAUGAAAAGCACUUUGAAAAGAGGGUUAAAUAGCACGUGAAAUUGUUGAAAGGGAAGCGUUUACGGCCAGACCUUUUCCUGGCGGAUCAUCUGGUGUUCUCACCAGUGCACUUCGCCAGGUUUAGGCCAGCAUCGGCUUCUGUAGGGGGAUAAAAGCAGUGGGAAAGUAGCUCCCUCGGGAGUGUUAUAGCCCUAAGCAUAAUACC